GAAGUCCUUGCAUAGCUGAGGCCGAUGUAACCACUAUCUGAAUCCCUGUGCCCACAUUUACUAUUGAGCACCCAACUGACAUGCAUUUGGGAUGAAGGGGAGACAAUCAGUGGUUGCUUGCCUGAACAUGAAGAGACAGGCAUCUCAAAAUCAGGAUGCCUUGCCUGGUACAGCCGCGGAUGACUCAGGUAAGGAGCAUGCUGACUCCCAAACCAGGUCUGGCUGAGGAGCAUGCCACGGUAAAUUUGCUCUGUGAAACCGAGACAAAUAACUUUACCUUCUUGUAUUUCCAUUUCUUGAGCAAAGGCAACAUAACAGGAUCUCUUGCUCAACAGUGUCAUAUCCAUGGAAAUGCAUGAUAAAGUUACAGACAACUACAGCGACAUACAUAUACCAACUAUACACACACACAAAAUCUAUCAGCAGUGCUGGGAGAAGUGUAAUGCUGUCAGACCCUGUCGUUUCGCCCUGGUCACAAUCUUGGAUUGGUUUAAGUAGAUGUGCUCUCAUAUCCAGAGGCAAAUACUGAUGUGGGGGAGGGCAGGGAGUCAGGGGCAGCACCACUUGAAGAUUCAGAAGCAUAACGUUCUUUGGAAUUGGGUGAAGAAACAGCUCCACAACUUGCACAGGCACUACGGAUUCUACAGCAAUGGGAGGAAGUAAUAAAACAAGCAAGGAGAUGUGCACACCUCUAAGAGCUUAAAGAAAUGGAGUUACUUCUUUGCAGCAAUCUUCAUUCAUACUCUCUAAUUUUCAUCUCUACAACCGCCUACGCUUGAACCGUAGCUUCAUUGUGUUUCAAAGGGCAUGGAUGUUGGGGAGAGGAAUGAUUGACUGAUUCCCAGAUUUUUAAAAAAUGUGGCAGAGGGAGAACUCUGACGAGGGAGCCACAGUGCUUAGAUGACUAUUUUCCCUUCUUGGUGGUGGUUUGAUGAUGAGAAGACACACACCCUGUCAUCAGCACUCCCUUUUUCAGAAGUUUCCACAGAAAGCAAUCUGCUCAUUGUAUCCAAGUUUCAUGGAGGUUGCUUUGGAAAGAAGCUUUAAAGUGGCGAAAGAGAUGAGUGAGAGAUACUGUCGAUAAUGCUAACGCUGAGGCCUAUGGAACGAGAUGUAUAUACAGAAGUCAGAUUUUUGAAGUGAAGGUACAUGUUUUAAUGGCCCAGGUGUUGGGAUUUCAGUACCAUAUAUACUUAGGAUGCAAUUGAGGCUAAAGGUAGCCCUGGGUGAUCCAACCAAAAAAGGACCCAAGUCUAAAUCACUCCAAGUCCAUUAUUAUCACUUCCAAUUUAUUACUAUUAUGGGAAUACUCUGGCAUUUUAGUGACUUAUAGUAUUUUGGAAAUUAUGUUUUCAUGCUUUUAAAUUCAGGAUAAUACAUUUCUUUGUAUUAAUAAGUAUACUAUCAAGAGCUCUACCAUUUUUUCUGUUUUAUCUGCCUCUCCAGCUCCACCCUUUUCUCAUCAGCACAUUGUUAGCAAGUUCCUAAAUGAUUUCAGAUAUAAGCAAAGUUUUUCUUGUAUAGUGAGUAAUAUGCUAGCUGUUUUGGGGGGUAUAAUGACAUGUUUUACCAUAGUUUAGUUUUUGAUUGUUCAUUUAUGUUUGUGCUUUAGAUUUCAUGUGAAACCUUCAUAAAAUUGUUGCAUUCAUGUCUAACUGAACUGUCUCUCAUUACGAAAACAGCCUGAUACCCUUUCGUAAAAAUUUCUGUCCAUUGCUGCCAUGAAUCAACAACUCUCCUUCUUCCUCCAAGCUGGUCAUUUCAUGUGUCAGUCAUGGAAAAUUACCACAUGUUAGAGGUUGACACGAAGACAAAAUAGCCUAAUGUUAGUUUCUCCUUUCAUUUUUUGUUUGUUUUUCUUUCAUUUCUUUCAUUUUUGGGUAAAGUAUUCAAGAAAUAUUGACAUGAGAAUAAAUGUUAUUGUGAUUAAGACUUAUUCUUUCUGGGGAUGAAAAGGCCAAAAAAGAUUCACUGGAGUGUUUCAGUCAGGAGGCAACCGUGCGCUUCCCAGAUCCCAGGCAACCAAGCCGUCUGCAUUUCAGAGCCAUCCUCCCUGUUUACUGAAAGACAACUGUCGGUGGGAAAUGAGCUACCCCAACUUCCAGUUCCAUCAGAACGGGGUCUUCUCUCACAUGGCGGCGCCGUGGCUUUCUGAGAGAACUUUCCGGUAAGCUGGCUGGGCACAUUCCAGAUUUGGCACUUAGCCAAGAGAGAAUAGCUCUGCCGUCCAUUCUUAGUGAAAUAUAAAUAAUGCCGGAGAGGAAUAAAAUUAAAAAAUAAAUAACAGUCCCUUUUUAGUCUUUGUCAUAAGUUUUACACACAGCCAACUUUCUAACAGGUCCUCUGAGACGCUGGCCUAACAGGGCUUUCCUUCUUGGUUAAACCACACGCCAAGGGAGAUGGAAGGGACCUGGAGAGAGACCUGUUUCUUUCCACUCUGCUCCUCACUGUGUCUCCUGAUGGGACUCCCAGAGAGCAGGUAUGCUAGAGACAUAGGUGGCAGCAAGCUGAUGGAGAAUGUUCCAGGGAUCUCAGACAGACUCUCUUAAGGAAAGGAAUCCCUCAGAGGAAAGGCCCUCAUUCCCAGAGCUGCACACUCCAAUGAGACUUUCCGUAAUAAGGGAAAGAAACCUAACUCAAUCUUGCUUUAAAAAAGAAGAGAAAAAGAGAGAACCUUUUGGAAGUUGAGAUAUGACUGGAUCCUGAAUUUGAAGGCUCUUCAGCAGCGCAUAGCCCCGUUCUACUCUUACAUUCACAGGCAAGUUCCUAGCAAUGCUGCCGAUGUAGAUCUUCGAACUUUCCAUCUCAGAGGAAGAGGUACCAUCUCUCUCCCAUUGACUCUGGAGGUCAGGAGAGGGCUCUGAUUAGCUUGGGUUGGAUCACAUGUCCAUCCCUAAAUCAACCUUCAUGGCCAGAAGGGGAGUGGCCAAAAUUGACUAAGACUAGUCUGGGGUUGGAUAAAGAUAGAAACUUGGCAAUCUCUGGAAUCAUCUGGACCAAAAGGUGCUAUUAAAGAUUGAGGGACAGUUGGUUCCUUAAGAAAGUACUAGAAAUACAGAAAAACUGGUCUACUGCACAUAUGGGAAGACCUUGAUGGGGCAUUCAUUGCAGGAAACCAUGAGCUUCUCAGUGCUUGAAGAUGUAGAGGGCCCUGAAUGAGACCUGCGUGAGUCAAAUGUGAAUUGGGGAUAGGACUAUGGGUUGAGUUUUGAACACACUUGAUCUCAAGUAGUUUUAAGUACUUUGCUGUUUGGUCUGGUCCUGGAUGAGAUUGUUAAUUAUAUUUGGGUUCUGGGUUUCUAUCUUUUAUUUCAGUCUUCCUUUUUUCUUUCCCUUUCCCUAUGCAGUGCCCAACAAAGUACUUAUAUUUCCCAAACCAUGUGGUCCUGAUAUCCCAUACCUCAGUAGAAGAAGAAGAGAAGGGAAAGAGAAGGGGAAAAGAAGAGAAAAUAUUAAGGACUAGGUAGCUGAGAGUAUUGGACAAUACAGAAGAGAAACGGACAGGAUGGAAAAGGUGAAGAAAAAGAAAAAAAAUAAUAGAUGGAAGAAAUGAUUCUCUGAAGUGGAAGGGCUGGGGAGUAGCCCUGUGCAACAGAAAUAGAAAUAUCAGAGAGAGAAGCAUCAGAAGAAAAUGAAAAUGCAGAACUGCUCGGGAAUUUGCUACAUGGCAGUUCCCUUCUCGUCUAUCCUCACCCUCUCCUGGUGUAUCCUAUUCUGCAGUGGUGUCAAAAUGAAAGCUAUAUUUCCCAAAUUUCCUUACAGCUGAGACUUCUGGACAUGGUCUGGGAUCUACUGAUGAUAGAGACAAGAGAGGUUUGACUUUAGUACUGAGCUGAGUGGGGAGCCAGGCAGCGUCAGGACAUCUUUAUGAGAGAGAUUAUUGGGGAGACCAGCCUCUGGAGCCAGUCAUUCUAAUGGAAGCUCUUUCACUCCCAGAUCAUAGAUGAGGACGUAGGAUCCUAGAGAUGGUGACAGUCUCAGCCCUGGAUUGCAGAUAAAUUUAGGACAAUGACUUGCUGAUUCCUGAGCAUUUUGAUUAUGGUAGAGAUCGAGAUUGCUCCUCCAGUACUGGAUUCUCUGUUUUGAAUUCCCUUAGUGCUUGAAACAGCUAGAGCGUUUUCUGCUAUCUGCAACUGAAGCCUAACUGAUACACAUCAUUUUUACUUAGUGGCCCUAAAGAGUCCUAGACAGAAAAUUUGGGAAUAACUGCCUUAGUAACUAAUAAACCUUCACCUUAUCAUUAUGAAGAUACAUUUGGCAUGCAACUUAUACACAUUGCAUCUGUAUUGGCAAAUAUAGUCAAUUCACUAGUUAAAGGUCAUCUCUUCAUCAUCAACUGUCCUGACUAUAGCCCCUAAUACUAAGGCUAAGGAAAAAAAAAGAGUUUUGAACACAGCACCUGGAUAAUUGUCAUAGGGUCUCAUUUGGCAAGCAUUCAGAGAAUCACUGACUGCUAAUUAACAUGAAACUCAAAUUAGGAUUUAUAAUUUCUCAAUAACUUGAGCAGACAUUAGAAAUAUGUGGCAAAGAUUGAUAAAGACAAGUGCAAACACAAAAAUUGAAACACCACAGAGGAAAUGGAAAGAAAUCAAAAGGAGAUGUGGUAUCAUAUUCCCCAAAAUAUCAUCCAAUUUAUAAUGCCUAGACCUCCAAAAAGAAGAAACACUAUGCUCAAAGACAGAACAUAAAUUUGUCAACAUUUUGAAGCUUAAAAACAUACAGUGCAAUGAGAUGAAAACAUCUUAACUACACAAAUGAUGUAAGAAAAAUGAAGCAUUGUAAUUUCUUUAAAAUAGGUAGAUCACCCUUGAAACAAAUGAACACUCAACCAAGAGAAUCAGAUGGGUUAUUCCCACCAUGUGUAAUUCACCAAGGGAAGCUGGACUAAUGCUAAAAAGAGUCUGAGUGGUAAUUCUCUGAGCAAAUAGGAAUAAUGAAAGUGGUUAUGAAGUCAGUUUAGAAGAUUAUGUGCCAUAUGGACACAUUUGUUGAAUAUUCUGUAUUUUCAGACAGUGAAAAUGAUCACCUGACAAUAAAUUAUA